CAUUAGGUUUCUUUUAAAAAUAGGGGGUUUCUCCUCCUCCUUCACUCGCUUAACAAAUUUAGUGAUUUCUUCUAAAAUUUUCUUUUGAGUCCUUUGCUACUUCUUACGAAUUUUAUUUUUUCUUUUUUUUCUUCUUCUUUUUAUUUGUGGCUUGAAGCCAUUUGAUGCUUCUUGUUUGGGUUGCUUGCAAUGUUUGUGUUAUAUGAUUUCUUCGUUACUUUUGUUUUGUUUUUUUUCUUCAUCUUCUUUGUUUUGUUCGAAUUAUCCUCAUGGUCGGCAUAAGCAAAAGUGUUUGGGAAGGGUAAGGGUGCUGUAAGGAAAAAGAAGAGGAAGGGGAGGGAAAGAAAAGGUCUAUAAAUAUCUUUGUUAGUAGCGACGUCUUCAAGUACAUGACAACUGAAGAAGAG
rnacentral:lncRNA from 1 species